rnacentral:rRNA from 1 species
GAUGAACGCUGGCGGCGUGCCUAAUACAUGCAAGUCGAGCGAACAGACGAGGCGCUUGCUCCUCUGACGUUAGCGGCGGACGGGUGAGUAACACGUGGAUAACCUACCUAUCAGACUGGGAUAACUUCGGGAAACCGGAGCUAAUACCGGAUAAUAUAUUGAACCGCAUGGUUCAAUAGUGAAAGACGGCUUUGCUGUCACUUAUAGAUGGAUCCGCGCCGCAUUAGCUAGUUGGUAAGGUAACGGCUUACCAAGGCAACGAUGCGUAGCCGACCUGAGAGGGUGAUCGGCCACACGGGAACUGAGACACGGUCCAGACUCCUACGGGAGGCAGCAGUAGGGAAUCUUCCGCAAUGGGCGAAAGCCUGACGGAGCAACGCCGCGUGAGUGAUGAAGGUCUUCGGAUCGUAAAACUCUGUUAUGAGGGAAGAACAAAUGUGUAAGUAACUAUGCACGUCUUGACGGUACCUAAUCAGAAAGCCACGGCUAACUACGUG